CCUGGCUCAGAUUGAACGCUGGCGGCAGGCUUAACACAUGCAAGUCGAGCGGGGGAAGGUAGCUUGCUACUGGACCUAGCGGCGGACGGGUGAGUAAUGCUUAGGAAUCUGCCUAUUAGUGGGGGACAACAUCUCGAAAGGGAUGCUAAUACCGCAUACGUCCUACGGGAGAAAGCAGGGGAUCUUCGGACCUUGCGCUAAUAGAUGAGCCUAAGUCGGAUUAGCUAGUUGGUGGGGUAAAGGCCUACCAAGGCGACGAUCUGUAGCGGGUCUGAGAGGAUGAUCCGCCACACUGGGACUGAGACACGGCCCAGACUCCUACGGGAGGCAGCAGUGGGGAAUAUUGGACAAUGGGGGGAACCCUGAUCCAGCCAUGCCGCGUGUGUGAAGAAGGCCUUAUGGUUGUAAAGCACUUUAAGCGAGGAGGAGGCUACUUUAGUUAAUACCUAGAGAUAGUGGACGUUACUCGCAGAAUAAGCACCGGCUAACUCUGUGCCAGCAGCCGCGGUAAUACAGAGGGUGCGAGCGUUAAUCGGAUUUACUGGGCGUAAAGCGUGCGUAGGCGGCUUAUUAAGUCGGAUGUGAAAUCCCCGAGCUUAACUUGGGAAUUGCAUUCGAUACUGGUGAGCUAGAGUAUGGGAGAGGAUGGUAGAAUUCCAGGUGUAGCGGUGAAAUGCGUAGAGAUCUGGAGGAAUACCGAUGGCGAAGGCAGCCAUCUGGCCUAAUACUGACGCUGAGGUACGAAAGCAUGGGGAGCAAACAGGAUUAGAUACCCUGGUAGUCCAUGCCGUAAACGAUGUCUACUAGCCGUUGGGGCCUUUGAGGCUUUAGUGGCGCAGCUAACGCGAUAAGUAGACCGCCUGGGGAGUACGGUCGCAAGACUAAAACUCAAAUGAAUUGACGGGGGCCCGCACAAGCGGUGGAGCAUGUGGUUUAAUUC
rnacentral:rRNA from 1 species